UACAACCAUGCCGCAUUGAAAUGCUGUUUUUCAUUCAAUCACUGAAGUUAAGUAACACUGGGCCUGGUCAAUACCUAGCUGGGUGACUACUUGGGAAUACCAGGUGCUGUAAGC